UACAGAGGGUGCGAGCGUUAAUCGGAAUUACUGGGCGUAAAGCGCGCGUAGGUGGCUUUGCAAGUCGGGUGUGAAAUCCCCAGGCUUAACCUGGGAACUGCAUUCGAGACUGCAUUGCUAGAGUAUGGGAGAGGGAAGUGGAAUUUCCGGUGUAGCGGUGAAAUGCGUAGAUAUCGGAAGGAACAUCAGUGGCGAAAGCGGCUUGCUGGACCUCUGCUGACGCUGAGGCGCGAAAGCCAGGGGAGCGAACAGG
rnacentral:rRNA from 1 species